rnacentral:lncRNA from 1 species
CUCUCCCGUUGCCUUAUCCCCUCGUAUCCCUCGUCCGGCGGCGCGGUCGUCCUCAGGCUCGGUGACGGCGGCGACGGAGGCGAGGGCCGACUUCCCGGCUUCAAGAUCCUGCGAAUCAGCAACGACGGAUGGCGCUCGGUGCUCAGCAGCUAGGCGGAGCGGCGGCACCCACGCAUGCGAGUAAACUUUCCUUUCGCUUCAUCGUUCGCUUCAGUGGUGAAGUCGUGAAGAUUAGUGAGGACUGAGAGGAAGGCAUGAACUUCGGUUAAAAGCCGAACACCGAACCGAAAAUACCGACACCGAAAUUGUCGGUUUUUGAUUUUGCUAUGCACCGAUCGGUUCUUGAUUCUGCAACACCGAAAUUUUUCAACACCGAACAAACCGAACCGAUUUGUCCUAGCCAAACGUACACAUCGAUUUCUCUCCUCAUUGAUUCCGCUCUUAGCUUGAAAAUAAAUGGUAAUUCAUUCUCUUUUCAGAAAGUGGUAAUUCAUCCCCACUCCCUUUUUGCAAACUAAAGGUGUUCGACACCCCUAGCCGUUACCUAGCUAGAGAUCCAACCCAAGGCCCAAUCUUGUGACGUGACUUCUCCACCACUGAACGAGUUCACUUCAAACUAGCCUGUCUUUUUUUUUCACUUUGUUUCUUUUGAAAUGUGGUCUGUCUCUGAAUUAUUAUCAUAACAAUCUGCCUUUUAAACACAAAAUUGCAGAAACGUAGUUCCCAAUGGCCAAUUCCCAUUGCAUACUCAUUCAAAGGAGGUGGGGGAAAAGGAUGGAUUUCAGAGAAUUCUGCCGAGGUCUCAAAGAACAGCAGCUACCAAAAGCAAGUCAGAAAUUGAAGGUUUGCAACCAGCAAGCUAGCGCUGGCGUGCUAC